GACGAACGCUGGCGGCGUGCCUAAUACAUGCAAGUAGAACGCUGAAGAGAGGAGCUUGCUCUUCUUGGAUGAGUUGCGAACGGGUGAGUAACGCGUAGGUAACCUGCCUUGUAGCGGGGGAUAACUAUUGGAAACGAUAGCUAAUACCGCAUAACAAUGGAUGACACAUGUCAUUUAUUUGAAAGGGGCAAUUGCUCCACUACAAGAUGGACCUGCGUUGUAUUAGCUAGUAGGUGAGGUAACGGCUCACCUAGGCGACGAUACAUAGCCGACCUGAGAGGGUGAUCGGCCACACUGGGACUGAGACACGGCCCAGACUCCUACGGGAGGCAGCAGUAGGGAAUCUUCGGCAAUGGGGGCAACCCUGACCGAGCAACGCCGCGUGAGUGAAGAAGGUUUUCGGAUCGUAAAGCUCUGUUGUAAGUCAAGAACGAGUGUGAGAGUGGAAAGUUCACACUGUGACGGUAGCUUACCAGAAAGGGACGGCUAACUACGUGCCAGCAGCCGCGGUAAUACGUAGGUCCCGAGCGUUGUCCGGAUUUAUUGGGCGUAAAGCGAGCGCAGGCGGUUUGAUAAGUCUGAAGUUAAAGGCUGUGGCUCAACCAUAGUUCGCUUUGGAAACUGUCAAACUUGAGUGCAGAAGGGGAGAGUGGAAUUCCAUGUGUAGCGGUGAAAUGCGUAGAUAUAUGGAGGAACACCGGUGGCGAAAGCGGCUCUCUGGUCUGUAACUGACGCUGAGGCUCGAAAGCGUGGGGAGCGAACAGGAUUAGAUACCCUGGUAGUCCACGCCGUAAACGAUGAGUGCUAGGUGUUGGAUCCUUUCCGGGAUUCAGUGCCGCAGCUAACGCAUUUAGCACUCCGCCUGGGGAGUACGACCGCAAGGUUGAAACUCAAAGGAAUUGACGGGGGCCCGCACAAGCGGUGGAGCAUGUGGUUUAAUUCGAAGCAACGCGAAGAACCUUACCAGGUCUUGACAUCCCGAUGCUAUUUCUAGAGAUAGAAAGUUACUUCGGUACAUCGGUGACAGGUGGUGCAUGGUUGUCGUCAGCUCGUGUCGUGAGAUGUUGGGUUAAGUCCCGCAACGAGCGCAACCCCUAUUGUUAGUUGCCAUCAUUCAGUUGGGCACUCUAGCGAGACUGCCGGUAAUAAACCGGAGGAAGGUGGGGAUGACGUCAAAUCAUCAUGCCCCUUAUGACCUGGGCUACACACGUGCUACAAUGGUUGGUACAACGAGUUGCGAGUCGGUGACGGCAAGCUAAUCUCUUAAAGCCAAUCUCAGUUCGGAUUGUAGGCUGCAACUCGCCUACAUGAAGUCGGAAUCGCUAGUAAUCGCGGAUCAGCACGCCGCGGUGAAUACGUUCCCGGGCCU
rnacentral:rRNA from 1 species